rnacentral:misc_RNA from 1 species
GUAGGUGAACCUGCGGAGGGAUCAUUAACACGUAUCCUACGUUUAUUAACCCCAAACCAAAAUGUGAACUCGUACCUGUUGUGUGGUCUUUGGCUGGAUUUGAUUGGGAAGCAAGGUUCGUCCUGUUUUCUUGUCAAUGUUCAGUUGAAUGCUGCAUGACGUUUUUGUCAGCUUUUGUUUACUCAAGAGCAGGCAUCUAACUAUUAACUACUUACAACUAUUAUAACCUUUAAUAACUUAAAAGCAUGCACUUGGCCUUUACUGGCAAAGCUGUAUAUUUACGAAAUUGUAAACAACUCUUAGCAACGGAUAUCUUGGUUCUG